CCUACGGGAGGCAGCAGUGAGGAAUAUUGGUCAAUGGUCGGGAGACUGAACCAGCCACGCCGCGUGAGGGAGGAAGGUACAGAGUAUCGUAAACCUCUUUUGUCAGGGAACAAAGGCGGGGACGUGUCCCCGGAUGAGUGUACCUGAAGAAAAAGCAUCGGAUAACUCCGGGCCAGCAGCCGCGGUAAUACGGAGGAUGCGGACUUAAUCCGGAUUUAUUGGGUUUAAAGGGUGCGCCGGCGGUCUGUUAAGUCAGCGGUCAAAGCCCGGGGCUCAACCCCGGCCCGCCGUUGAAACUGGCCGUCUCGAGUUGGAGAGAAGUAUGCGGAAUGCGCGGUGGAGCGGGUAAAUGCAUAGAUAUCGCGCAGAACUCCGAUUGCGAAGGCAGCAUGCCGGCUCCACACUGACGCUGAGGCACGAAAGCGUGGGUAUCGAACAGGAUUAGAUACCCUGGUAGUC
rnacentral:rRNA from 1 species